CGGUCGCCCGCCCAGGCUCAGAAAUCACCGAAAAUCAGAAAAAUGCCUAGAUCUGCUUAGUGACUGCAGGCCUAGGAGUGAAGCAACCAGCCAUGGGACUGGCUCUAGUGGCAGCAGCAAAGCUCAGCACAGCUCCUGGCUGCAUUCCUGGCAUCAGAUGGUCCUGAAUGCUCAGGCCUGACUGAAGAACUGACUGAAGAACCAAGAUGGAGUUGGGAACCGCAGCCUCCAGGAUCUGAAGACUUUGGAGACCCUUAGGAGAUGUUUGAAAUCCCCACUUUGACCAGAGAAGAUGUGGUCUUCUAAAACAUCCUCAAGAAAAGGACUGUGCGGGAUGGUGGACAAAAGCUGCAGCCCCUGGCAUCCUGGCAACGGGAAGGAAC